rnacentral:lncRNA from 1 species
GGGGUCCCUGUCUUCCCCCCACAAAGUUAAAUGGAACUGUCCAUUACUGAUUUGGGGGGUUCCAGGUGAAUUUUGGGGGGGGGUUCUCAGUUUGAUUUCAAGCUCUCACUUGAACCUGGUCCCCCCCCCUAUGCCAGCCCCGGGUGGAACUGUCCAUCCCCAAUCCCAAGUAAAUUUUUGGGAUGUUCCAAGUGAAUUUUGGGGGGGUUCCAGGAACAUUUUGGGGGUCUCACUUGAACCUUGUCCCUCCCCCCGCGCCAGCCCUGGGUUGAACUGUCCAUUGGCAAUUUGGGAGUUUCCAGGUGAACUUUGGGGGAGUCCAAGUGAAUUUUCGGGGGGUUCCAGGUGAAUUUUGACCAGUGUCAGAUGGAACUGUCCAUUACCAAUCAGGGAAUGUUCCAAAUGAAUUCUGGGGGGGUUCCAGGUGAAUUGCUGGGGGGGUUCCAGGAAUAUUUUGGAGAUCUCACUUGAACCUUGUCCCCCCCCCGCGCCAGCCCCGGGUGGAACUGUCCAUCGCUGAUUCCAGCUGAAUUCUGGGAGCAUUCCAAAUGAAUUUUGGGGGGGUUCCAUGAACUAUUUGGGGAUCUCACUUGAACCUGCUCCCCCGCCCCCCGCUCGUCCCGAGUGGAACUGUCCAUCGCCGAUUCCAGCUGAAUUCUGGGAGCAUUCCAAGUGAAUUUUGGGGGGGUUCCAGGAACAUUUUGGUGGUCUCACUUGAACCUUGUCCCCCCCCGCGCCAGCCCCGGGUGGAACUGGCUGUUGUAGGGUCGCCGCCUCUCGGGGUCCCUCCGGGGGUCCCUCCGGGGGUCCCGGGGGUCCCUCCGGGGGUCCCCGUGGGGGUCCCGCAGCCCCCGGAGCAGCUCCCGGCUCCGCUCGGCCUCGGCCGCCUCCCGGGCCAGGCGCUGCCGCCGCAGCUCCGCCAGCCUGCAACGGCAAUUAGCGCUGAUUAAUUACUGCUCAUUAAUGGUGGGGAGGGGGGACCAGCUGGGGAUCAUCAUUAAUGGGUAAUUAGUUAAUUAUGGGGUGAUUAAAGGGGUAAUUAAGUGGUUAAUUCGAGGUAAUCAAGGGGUUAAUUAGGGGUAACUAAGUGGUUAUUUAGGGGGUAAUUAAGUGGAUAAUUCGAGGUAAUUAAGUGGUUAAUUUGGGACAAUUAAGUGGUUAAUCGAGGUAAUAAAGGGGUUAAUUAGAGGUAAUUAAGGGGUUAA